UACGUAGGGUGCAAGCGUUGUCCGGAAUUAUUGGGCGUAAAGAGCUCGUAGGCGGUCUGUCGCGUCGGCUGUGAAAUCCCGAGGCUCAACCCUCGGAUGCCGGUGGAUACUGUCGGGCUUGAGUACGGAAGAGGCGAGUGGAAUUCCGUGGUGUAGCGGUGAAAUGCGCAGAUAUCAGGAGGAACACCAAUUGCGAAGGCAGCUCGCUGGGACGUUACUGACGCUGAGACGCGAAAGCGUGGGGAGCAAACAGG
rnacentral:rRNA from 1 species